AUUGUAUAUGUGUGUGGGGGUGGGGGGGUAUGUGUGUAUCUAUAGCUAUAGUAUGUGUGUGUGUUGUAAAUUGUUUAUUCAUUGAUAGGAAGAAGUGUUCUUUUUCACAGGCUUAGUAAUGGGUCCUGCCUAAGAUCACACAGCUUGGUGGCAGCAGAAUUAGGCCUAGGCUCAGGUCUCCUGAAUUCUAGCUUAGUUUCCUUUUACAUCCCACAUUUUGUUCCUUCUAACAUAAAAGCCUUAUCAGGUUUUGAAUCAGAGCAGGAAAGUAUAUAAUAGAGAGGAAGAUUAGGUAGGAGAGGCAGGAUCUGUUUUUUCCUUUCUUUGCUCUCUAAUUUUGCUACACACACAGAGAGAAAACACACACAUGCUGUCUCUCUUAGAAUGAUAUCAUUUUUCACCUACAGCUUAACUCAAGACUUACUACUCAGCCUCCCAGGGAACCAAGAAGGACAGGUUUAGAAGUUAUAAUGGAAUUGUUAGGAAACCACAUGCCAUUUCACUUCAUGGAAAUCAUUUGAACCACCAGCAAUCCAUAAUGGCUGUCUUUGGGAAGCUUUAUUUUAUAACUAAAGGCUACCUUCUGUCAAGAAACUUUCCUUGUCCUAAUCCCAGUGUAGUAGCUACAUAUAUCCUAAGUGUUACUGUUUGGGAUUGACAACUGGAAUUUUGUUGAGUCCUAACUUCAGUCCACUGUUGGAUCUCUAAAUUCCCUAACUCAGGCCUGCUUUGCAGAGCCCUUGUGAGAGGGUGCUAAGGAGCCUAAGACAACAGCAAGCUGCUUUUAUGCUUUCCGCCCCCCAGGAGUGGUGAAAGGACAUAGGAAGGAGUCUGGGGAACUGUACUACAGCAUUGAAAAAGAAGGCCAAAGAAAGUGGUAUAAGCGAAUGGCUGUCAUCCUGUCCUUGGAGCAAGGAAACAGACUGAGAGAGCAGUAUGGGCUUGGCCCCUAUGAGGCAGUAACACCUCUCACAAAGGCAGCAGAUAUCAGCUUAGACAAUUUGGUGGAAGGGAAGCGGAAACGGCGCAGUAACGUCAGCUCCCCAGCCACCCCUGCUGCCUCCAGUAGCAGCAGCACAACCCCUACCCGAAAGAUCACAGAAAGUCCUCGUGCCUCCAUGGGAGUUCUCUCAGGCAAAAGAAAACUUAUCACUUCUGAAGAGGAACGGUCCCCUGCCAAGCGAGGUCGCAAGUCUGCCACAGUAAAACCUGGUGCAGUGGGGGCAGGAGAGUUUGUGAGCCCCUGUGAGAGUGGAGACAACACCAGUGAACCCUCUGCCCUGGAAGAGCAGAGAGGGCCUUUGCCUCUCAACAAGACCUUGUUUCUGGGCUAUGCAUUCCUCCUUACCAUGGCCACAACCAGUGACAAGUUGGCCAGCCGCUCCAAACUGCCAGAUGGUCCUACAGGAAGCAGUGAGGAAGAGGAGGAAUUUUUAGAAAUUCCUCCUUUCAACAAGCAGUAUACAGAAUCCCAGCUUCGAGCAGGAGCUGGCUAUAUCCUUGAAGAUUUCAAUGAAGCCCAGUGUAACACCGCUUACCAGUGUCUUCUAAUUGCGGAUCAGCAUUGUCGAACCCGGAAGUACUUCCUGUGCCUUGCCAGUGGGAUUCCUUGUGUGUCUCAUGUCUGGGUCCAUGAUAGUUGCCAUGCCAACCAGCUCCAGAACUACCGUAAUUAUCUGUUGCCAGCUGGGUACAGCCUUGAGGAACAGAGAAUUCUGGACUGGCAACCACGUGAAAAUCCUUUCCAGAAUCUGAAGGUACUCUUGGUAUCAGACCAACAGCAGAACUUCCUGGAGCUCUGGUCUGAGAUCCUCAUGACUGGUGGGGCAGCCUCUGUGAAGCAGCACCAUUCAAGUGCCCAUAACAAAGAUAUUGCUUUAGGGGUAUUUGAUGUGGUGGUGACGGACCCCUCGUGCCCAGCCUCGGUGCUGAAGUGUGCUGAAGCAUUGCAGCUGCCUGUGGUGUCACAAGAGUGGGUGAUCCAGUGCCUCAUUGUUGGGGAGAGAAUUGGAUUCAAGCAGCAUCCAAAAUAUAAACAUGAUUAUGUUUCUCACUAAAGAUACUUGGUCUUACUGGUUUUAUUCCCUGCUAUCGUGGAGAUUGUGUUUUAACCAGGUUUUAAAUGUGUCUUGUGUGUAACUGGAUUCCUUGCAUGGAUCUUGUAUAUAGUUUUAUUUGCUGAACUUUUAUGAUAAAAUAAAUGUUGAAUCUCUUUGGUUGUAGUAA
rnacentral:sRNA from 1 species